CAAAGCUGCCUUGCAUGUGGCCAAGAGAUUCCCUCGACCAAGCUCCCUCUCUGCUCCAUAGAGAACGGUCGCCAGGGCCAGGCACAACCCCGCUGGGAUGAAGAGCGGAGCGGGGUGGUCCGACGUCGAAGCCGCACCCCUUCGCCGUGGCCACUCGGCUUCGUUGCGGAAGAACCGGGUGCCUACAAGGGGCGGGGGAAGCUGGCGGAAAGCUGGCUUGCAUUAGGAGGAAGAGGAGGGAGGAGAGUGAACGAGCUAGAGAAAGAUGUCGGCAGCCGGCGGAGGGGCUACUUCCGCCGUGUCGGUGUUAGCCCCGAAUGGGAGGCGAGUGACCGUCAGAGUAGGCCCAAGCACCCCCCUGAUCCAGGUCUUGGAAGAAGUUUGUAGAAAGCAGAAUUUUAGUCCUAAUGAAUAUGAUUUGAAAUUUCAGAGGACCGUGCUGGAUCUUUCUUUGCAAUGGAGAUUUGCCAACCUACCCAACAAUGCCAAAUUGGAGAUGGUGCCAAUCUCUCGUAAUAGAGAUGGGAUUGAAGAUACAAUACGGAUUGCACUGCAAUUGGAUGAUGGUUCUAGACUCCAGGACACAUUCAGCUCUAGUCAAACCUUGUGGGAUAUUCUUCACCAUUUUGCACAGACCAGGGAAUAUGUGGAAGAGCAAAGUGAAGUGUCCCCUGUCUGUAUUUACAUGAGAGACGAAAUAUCUGGGAAAACUGCUUUGGAGAAGACAAGUCUGAAGUCGCUUGGUCUGACUGGAGGCAAUGCCAUUAUCAGAGUGAACACAAAGAAGGCUGUUUCCUCUGAUAAUGCAGAAGGUGGAAGCAAUGAAAUUCUUUCUAAAGAAGUACCAGGAGGGUCAGCUUCUACAGAACACCCAGAGGCUGUGUCUUUUGUACACCUCCCUCCCUUUCCAAGCUCAUCCUGCUCAAGUGAAGCUGCACUUACCAACCAAUGUACUAAUAAGCAGAACUGGAGUAAAGGAUCUCAGGAUAAUUCAGAGGAGCUUCGUCCUCCUUCAGAGCUUAUUCCUACCUCAUUUAUCCCUUUCAUGGGCAGUGGUCAGUCUCUGGGUGGUGGCAGUCCCACACCAAUGCUAUCUCCAGUAUUGACAAACCAGCCAAGUUCUCUGUCCAGUCCUGGAGGGCCUUCCAAGCCAAAGAAGUCAAAGAACAGCCAAGAAAAACUAAAGGAGCAAAAAGAGCAUUUGGACCGAGAGCCAAUUGUGUGCCAUCCUGAUCUUCAAGAGCCAUUGGAUUCUGAUUCACAAGAUCUCCCUGAUGAAUUCUUUGAGGUUACAGUAGAUGAUGUGAGAAAACGUUUGGCCCAACUUCAGAAUGAAAGGAGGUGUUUAGAAGAAGUUCCCUUGAUGACAAAGGCACAGCGAGAAGCUCAAACGAAGGAGAAAUUAGAGCGUUAUCCAAAGGUGGUACUACGUGUUUACUUCCCAGAUCGUCACAUUUUGCAAGGUUUCUUUCACCCUAGUGAAACAGUUGGUGCUCUGAGGGCAUUUGUGAAAAGUCUCCUUGUAAAUCCAGAGAUACCAUUUUAUUUAUUUAUUACACCACCCAGAUCCAUUCUGAGUGACGAUGGCAUGACUCUUUUUCAGGAUUUUCUUUGCAAAGUGGAUUUUUACCUUCCGUCCAUCGACUGCAUAGCUGCACCCCUCCUCUGCCGUGGUCAGCGCUGCUAGAUCUCAAGCUUCGCUGCUUGCUAGCGUGCACACAUGCCCCGAGCAACCGGACGGUCACGUAAGAGGGUGAGGAAGCCUCUGCAUCGUGGGGGCGAUAGAAGCGGCUGCGCGGCUCUCAAAGGGGCUGACAAAGACCAGUGGAGGACCGGGGAUCCAUCGAAGAUCGCCCCAACGCUCCCCAGCUCCAGGUGGAAAAUCGGACCACAGGUCGGCGGUCGCCAUCUUGCCGCCGCCGUCUUGAGCACAUGAGUGAGCACGUGAUCGGCAUUCUCUUACGGACGCCAAAAACGCUCAAAAAGCACCAGUGAAGCCAGAAGAGGCUUCCUUAAGGACCAACUCUGCCGGUAAUCCGGGGAGGGCUCCAGAGCGGUGCCUGCUGGCGACCUGGGCCACAGAUCGGCGGCAGGAAGAAGAAGAGCGUGGAUUCAGGGACAGAAGACUGAAUCCACCAAAUUGAAGCCGGCUGAAAGAGAGAGGAGGUUGGUGGUCAGCACAACUGUAAGUACUAUGGCGGAGGCGGUGAGGAGCAGGGAUGCUAGGCCCAGAUCCCCAGGGGGUCGGAUCCGGACGAAGGGACCUCUGGGGGGGCUCCCCCAAUUCCCAGAGGGAGGUCCCCAACCAGGAGGGGCAACUCCAGGGCCCCUAGGAAGGCAACCUCUGAGAAGGAGGUUAGGAUCACCAGGGCCUCUGCUAGAAGAUUUAGGGCUACCAUCAGCCCCUCCCCCUCCAGGUCUCGAUCCCCCCCGCAGGCUUCCAGCCCUGGUUGAGGCCCAGGAGACAUCCCCAGGUUCCCCAAGGGGCUCAGGCAGAGGGCACAGCUCCCUAUCGCCCCCCUUAUUGCCUGCUCAUACGUCUGAGCCGAGGGGUGACCCUUUUGGGCGCAGGGCAUCCAGCCCAGCCAGGCAUCGGUUGGCACCGCAAUCCCCUGAACCCAGGGAAUAUUCACAGCCUCCAGAGCUCCAUCCUGCCUUGCCUGAGCUUCCCACCAGCUUUCAGGAAGUGCUAGUCAGGGCCAUAGCCCAAAGGAUCGCUUCUGGGAUGAAGCACCAGCCCCAGAGCUCCACAGGCAGAUCUUCCCGGGACCAACCCAGGGGCCACCGGGACCGCCCCAGAGCAUCUGCUGCCAGAGGAACCAGGUCUCCCUCUCCCUCUACUGCCAGUGAGGCUUCGGAAUUAGAGGAGGGAGCGUGAAGGAGGUGGGGUUUUCUGAAGAUGAGGAGGCCCAGGCAGAAGAGACUCCAAACAUCGUUGGCCUUUUUCCCCCCUCCUUAUUUAGCUCCUUGCUUCAAAAGGCAAGGGCCACAGCAGACCUGGACCCCCCCACAGAUCCCAGGCCUGCGUCUGAUAUGCCUAGCACUAGCAGGGGUAACAGGAAGGGGCCCUUCCAUAGACCUCCGGUGGAGAAGGAGGAGAUUCCUACUCCAGAUAUGUUUUUAGAAGUGCUUAAAUCCCAGUGGGUUAAGCCAGGUUCUUUCCCAAAUCCAGGGGGAAAUGAGAGGAGAUUCUAUAAUCUUAACUCUACCUUUGCCCAAGCUCUCCGGGUUCCUGAGGUGGACACCCCGGUGGCCACCUUAGCUUCAGCAUCAACUGUGGUCACAGGAGACAUCGCCAAUUGCCUUAAGGCAGAGGAUAAGAAGGCGGACAUCGUGCUACGUAAGACUUUCCAAGCAAUAACCUGUGCCAUUAGGGCAGCCGCUUCGGUGUCUUUCUUCAACAGGUCUACGGUGCUGUGGUUGGAACAGCUGAGGGACAGGACUCCGGCCACGGAAGUUCGAUUGCUGCAGGACAUCUCUAAGGUGCUGGCAGCCAUGCAGUUCUCAGCAGAUGCCACCCUGGAUGCAGUUAAGUAUGCGUCUCGGGCAAUGUCAUCUUCGGUGGCGUCCAGGCGCCUACUGUGGUUGCGCCACUGGCAGGCGGAGUCCCGGGCUAAGUAGCACCUGACAGGAGCAGACCACACUGGGGACAAGCUGUUCGGGACUGCACUGGAUCCUAUCCUGGUGGAGGAUAAGAACAAACGGAAGGUCUUCCCGACGACUACCAGACGUUCAGACCUCCGGCAUACGCUGUACCCCAGGAGAACUUCGUACCGCCCGCCUGAACCGGAUGCCCAGAACCAGAGUUCUUCUUUCCAGGCUCCUUGGGAAAUUCAUUUCUUGUAUAAGGAUCGUGCCGUGGGCUCGACUACACGCCAGGGAGCUUCAGUGGUUCCUGCUUCCAUACCAGAGAGUCGGGACGAGCGACGCCAGCUUCAAGGUUCGAGUGCUGCCCCAGGUGCUGCUCUCGCUCCAUUGGUGGCUGACCC